rnacentral:rRNA from 1 species
UGGGGAAUAUUGGACAAUGGGCGCAAGCCUGAUCCAGCCAUGCCGCGUGAACGAUGAAGGCCUUAGGGUUGUAAAGUUCUUUUGUCAGGGAAGAUAAUGACGGUACCUGAAGAAUAAGCACCGGCUAACUUCGUGCCAGCAGCCGCGGUAAUACGAAGGGUGCUAGCGUUGUUCGGAAUCACUGGGCGUAAAGGGCAUGUAGGCGGUUAUAUUAGUCUGAUGUAAAAGACCCGGGCUUAACCUGGGAUAUGCAUUGGAAACGGUAUAGCUAGAGUAUGGGAGAGGGAAGUGGAAUUUCCGGUGUAGCGGUGAAAUGCGUAGAGAUCGGAAAGAACACUCGUGGCGAAGGCGGCUUUCUGGCCCAUAACUGACGCUGAGGUGCGAAAGCAUGGGGAGCAAACAGGAUUAGAUACCCCUGUAGUCCCUGAGCGGGCUGGCAAGGCGCAU